CAAGGGACCAAAGAAGGAUAUGUUUGCCGCCUCCUGACCUGGAGGAAGACUGUUCCUUUGUGACCUCAUUGGCCACAUCCUGCUUCCUCUGUCUGCUCUGCCUUUGAGCCCUUUGAGUUGGUGCAGCUCAGCCGGCAGCGCCUCUCAGUCACAGCCGCAUGGCUGGGCAGCCUGUGGGCUGGUUUCCUCCCCCUUGGCAAGAUAGAGGAAUAGAAUCUCAGAAUUUCAGAUCAGGAAAGGACUUUAAGGAUUAUUUAGUCCAUUUCCCCACUUUAUUGAUGGGUAAACUAAAGCCCAGAGAUACUGUCUUGCUCAAGGGCACUCACGUAGCUGAGCAGUUUCCUUGACGCCCAGUGCAGCCCUGCUUCUGUGACUUUGCCUUGCUGUCUCUCUGGUCUUUGGGGGACAAUAGAGGGAACCAUGAAAUCACUCUAAGUGUCUGUACCAGACAAGCUACCGGAGGAGAAAUCUUUAUCUUUGACCCUCUAGCUUAACUCCAGAGUGUAAGCUCUCAG